rnacentral:rRNA from 1 species
UGGGGAAUUUUCCGCAAUGGGCGAAAGCCUGACGGAGCAACGCCGCGUGAGGGAGGAAGGCCCUUGGGUUGUAAACCUCUUUUAAUAGGGAAGAAGCUCUGACGGUACCUAUUGAAUAAGCCUCGGCUAACUCCGUGCCAGCAGCCGCGGUAAGACGGAGGAGGCAAGCGUUAUCCGGAAUUAUUGGGCGUAAAGCGUCCGUAGGUGGCAAUUCAAGUCUGCUUUUAAAGCGUGCAGCUCAACUGCAUAGAGGGAGUAGAAACUGAAUAGCUAGAGUGCGGUAGGGGCAGAGGGAAUUCCCAGUGUAGCGGUGAAAUGCGUAGAUAUUGGGAAGAACACCAGUGGCGAAAGCGCUCUGCUGGGCCUGCACUGACACUGAUGGACGAAAGCUAGGGGAGCGAAAGGGAUUAGAUACCCCCGUAGUCC